AAGAAAAACAGAGGAAGAAAAAUAACAAGCGUGGUGUUGGGACCGAUUUCGGCCUCUUUUGAACUUCCACAUUUUUGUUACGGAGGCGAAAUUAACAUUGAAAAGUUGCUUGCAGCCCCUCCUAAGAAGCAUGCAAAUUAUGGAAAAGAUAUAGAUAUUACUCCACUUGCAGAUCGAAGAUUUUCUGUCAUUGAAAGAGCAAAUAAUUGGACAGUUCAAUUGAGAAAACGAAAUGAUAAUCGAAUAGAUAUUAUUUGUACACAUUUACCAUCAAACAAGCAAUUUCGUUCGAAGCCUGAAGUGGCUAACUUUAUUCUUUAUGAAGCUCGCCCAAAACCUAAAAGCAAGGAGGAAAAGAAAACUGAAAAUUCCAGUGGAUGCAAUGAGAAAGGUUCGGCAUCAAAGAAAAGAAAAAAAGAAGAGAGAGAAACUUAUCUUGAUAUCCCUCCAGAGGAAGCAGGAACAAAUAUGAUGGAAUGGAUUGACUAAAGAUAUUAAAAAUAAAUGUGAAGAAUCAUCCCAGAGUGAAAAGCUUUUACAUUGAAUAAUAUUUAGAUGGUUCUUGUAUAAUUAUACAAUGUAUAAACAACUUUAUAUAA